rnacentral:rRNA from 1 species
UCGCAUGACUUAAUAAUCAAAGGAGCAAUCCGCUGAAAGAUGGGCUCGCGUCCGAUUAGGUAGUUGGUGGGGCAACGGCCCACCAAGCCGACGAUCGGUAGCCGGACUGAGAGGUUGAACGGCCACAUUGGGACUGAGACACGGCCCAGACUCCUACGGGAGGCAGCAGUGAGGGAUAUUGGUCAAUGGGGGAAACCCUGAACCAGCAACGCCGCGUGAGGGAAGACGGUUUUCGGAUUGUAAACCUCUGUCCUCUGUGAAGAUAAUGACGGUAGCAGAGGAGGAAGCUCCGGCUAACUACGUGCCAGCAGCCGCGGUAAUACGUAGGGAGCAAGCGUUGUCCGGAUUUACUGGGUGUAAAGGGUGCGUAGGCGGCUUUGCAAGUCAGAAGUGAAAUCCAUGGGCUUAACCCAUGAACUGCUUUUGAAACUGCAGAGCUUGAGUGGAGUAGAGGUAGGCGGAAUUCCCGGUGUAGCGGUGAAAUGCGUAGAGAUCGGGAGGAACACCAGUGGCGAAGGCGGCCUACUGGGCUCUAACUGACGCUGAGGCACGAAAGCGUGGGUAGCAAACAGGAUUAGAUACCCUGGUAGUCCACGCUGUAAACGAUGAUUACUAGGUGUGGGUGGACUGACCCCAUCCGUGCCGGAG